UUCAUCAGAUGGUUGGGAGAAAGGAACCUAUCAAGAGAUGAUCGAAUAAUGCGAAUGAAAGAAGGGUAUAUCAAAGAAGGAAGCACUGUUAGUGUAAUGGGAGUUGUUCAAAGGAAUGAUAAUGUGCUUAUGAUUGUACCUCCACCUGAGCCAAUUACAACAGGUUGCCAAUGGGCCAAAUGUAUUUUUCCAGCAAGCCUCGAUGGUAUUGUUUUGAGAAGUGAAGACACCUCGAAGAAUGAUGUCAUACCAGUGUAAUAAUGUUGUAGACACACCAUACUGUUCUCUUUUAUUCUUUUUAUUCACUAUUAAUAUUGACGGUGGCUGCAAUGAUGAUGGUAUUCGGCAAGUGAUGGUCAGGUGGCUGCAGCGGCAUUGUUCUGUUUUUCAUUUGCCCUUGGUGUAUAGUUUUGGUGUUUCGUGCCAUUUCUUUUUUUCUUCUAGGUCUUGAUGGCUUUUGUAAUGGGGUUGGCUUGGUAUUGUAGGGAAUUUUACAU
rnacentral:misc_RNA from 1 species